CCCUGGUUAGCUCAAUUGGUAGAGCGCUCCACCUGUAAUGGGGAGGUCCCGGGUUCGAUACCCGGACCAGGCG
rfam:Ixodes scapularis strain Wikel colony gcontig_1108379492098, whole genome shotgun sequence.